CUCUUAUGGAGAGUUUGAUCCUGGCUCAGGACGAACGCUGGCGGCGUGCCUAAUACAUGCAAGUCGAGCGCGGGAAGCGAGCUGAAGCCCUUCGGGGCGGACGCUCGUGGAACGAGCGGCGGACGGGUGAGUAACACGUGGGCAACCUACCUGUAAGACCGGAAUAACCCCGGGAAACCGGGGCUAAUGCCGGGUAACCGUUCGGUUCUCCUGAACCGAACGUAAAAGGAUGGCUUCUUGCUAUCGCUUACAGAUGGGCCC
rnacentral:rRNA from 1 species